GCAAGUCGAACGAGAAAGUAUCCUUCGGGAUACAAGUACAGUGGCGCACGGGUGAGUAACGCGUAGGCAACCUACCCUCGAGUGGGGAAUAACCAUCGGAAACGGUGGCUAAUACCGCAUGCUGUCGUGCAUCGCAUGGUGCACGAUGAAAGUUUUCGGAUGCUUGAGGAUGGGCCUGCGUCGGAUUAGUUAGUAGGUAGGGUAACGGCCUACCUAGGCAGCGAUCCGUAGCUGGUCUGAGAGGACGAUCAGCCACACUGGCACUGAGACACGGGCCAGACUUCUACGGAAGGCAGCAGUAGGGAAUAUUGGGCAAUGGGCGAAAGCCUGACCCAGCCACGCCGCGUGGAGGAAGACACCCCUAUGGGGCGUAAACUCCUUUUAUACGGGAAGAACCCCUCCCUCAGGGAGCCUGACGGUACCGUAUGAAUAAGCACCGGCUAACUCCGUGCCAGCAGCCGCGGUAAUACGGAGGGUGCAAGCGUUGUCCGGAUUCACUGGGUGUAAAGGGUGUGUAGGCGGGACGGUAUGUCAGAGGUGAAAGCCCACGGCUCAACCGUGGAAUUGCCUUUGAAACUGCCGUUCUUGAGUCUCGGAGAGGUCGCUGGAAUUCGUGGUGUAGCGGUGAAAUGCGUAUAUAUCACGAGGAACACCAGAGGCGUAGGCGGGCGACUGGACGAGUACUGACGCUGAGGCACGAAAGCGUGGGGAGCAAACAGGAUUAGAUACCCUGGUAGUCCACGCCGUAAACGAUGGAUGCUCG
rnacentral:rRNA from 1 species